rnacentral:rRNA from 1 species
AUUGAACGCUGGCGGCAUGCUUUACACAUGCAAGUCGAACGGUAACAGGUUAAGCUGACGAGUGGCGAACGGGUGAGUAAUGCAUCGGAACGUGCCCGAUCGUGGGGGAUAACGCAGCGAAAGCUGCGCUAAUACCGCAUACGAUCUGAGGAUGAAAGCGGGGGACCGUAAGGCCUCGCGCGAUCGGAGCGGCCGAUGUCAGAUUAGGUAGUUGGUGGGGUAAAGGCCCACCAAGCCGACGACCUGUAGCUGGUCUGAGAGGACGACCAGCCACACUGGGACUGAGACAUGGCCCAGACUCCUACGGGAGGCAGCAGUGGGGAAUUUUGGAAAAUGGGCGAAAGCCUGAUCCAGCAAUGCCGCGUGCAGGAAGAAGGCCUUCGGGUUGUAAACUGCUUUUGUACGGAGCGAAAAGGUCCUUUCUAAUACAAGGGGCUCAUGACGGUACCGUAAGAAUAAGCACCGGCUAACUACGUGCCAGCCGCCGCAGUAACAC